CACAAAGACCAUCUAGGAGUUUUCCAAAUGCCUACUUUGGACAUUCAAACAACAAGUAGGAAUAAAAGAAUCUACUUUAGUGUUGAAUAUAUUAAAUUGAGAAUAGAGAUGGGGAAUGUGUCAAAGAGACCACUAAGGAGAAGAAAACAGCAAAAGGACACCAAUGCGUCUUCAUCACAGCGAAGAAAAUCUAGCUCACACAGGCAGGCUUUAGCUGGACUCUAAACAAAAUGUGUACUAGUUCAGUGAAAAUAGAUGUCAUACAAAACUUCAAAACAUAUAAAUGAACUAAAAUUGAAAAUCCUACAAGGCUAUAUAACAUGUAUAAAAAUAAGAAGAUGUAUAAUUUCCAAUGAGACAACUCUCCACAAGAGACCAAAUGAUGCAGAAAUUAAACGACUAUAGGUUACUGUACAUCCUUCAACAAUGAGCAAAACCAAUACAACGUAAUACCAAUAUACAGUUGUAUAAAGAUGAAGGAAAAACAAACAUGAACAAACGACAACCACUGAAUUAGAGGCUGUUGCCUUGGGACAGGCACAUACACACAUACAGAAUGUGGUUGGGUUAAACAUGUUAGCUUUAUCCCAACCCUCCCCCUAACCUAGGACAGUGGUGUAACAGUGCAACAUAAGAACG
rnacentral:lncRNA from 1 species